rnacentral:lncRNA from 1 species
ACAGAAUGCAACAGAACUGUCCCUGCUGCAGAAGUCUCAGGGUUCUGCCCCAACUGCAUAGACUUCUUUCAUGGAACCGGCUCCUCUAUCCCCACAAGGCUUCUCCCCAGCACAGCUUCUACCUAGAAUCAGACGGAGAGCUUUAGACCAGGUAAGAACUCUGGGCCAAUGUAAAUCAGGAGCGCCAGGCUGUCCCAGCCUCUGCCCUGACUUGCUCUAUGAGUUUGGCAAAUUCCUUAAUCUGCCCAUGCCUCUCUUUCUGUGUUGUUAACAUGAUGAUGUUGGCCUAGAGCAGGGGCUGGCAAACUUUUUAUGUAAAGAGACAAAUAUAAUAUUUUAGGCUUGUAGACCACAUGGUCAGUAUCUCUCUCAACUAUCCAAAGCCACCACUGUAGCAUGAAAGCAGCCACAGAUGGGUUGUAAAUGGAGGGGCGUGGUUGUAUUCCAAUAAAACUUUAUUUACAAAGACAAGUGGUGAACAAGAUUGGCCAGUGGACUGUAUUUUGCCAACUCCUGGACUAAAUCUCUAAGGAUCUUUGCAACACUGAAAUACCGUACUACCUGGAUUGUUUUACAGAGAGAAAACGGAGGCGUGGUGACACCAAGUGACAUGCUCCAAGCCGCUGAACAUGUUGGUGGCAGAGCUAGAACUCGACACCAAGUCUCCUGGCUUUAGUCCACUGUGGCUCUCAAUCCUCGCACACGCAGAGCACAGACCGUUUUUGGUACACGAGGCUUACCCUGGGAACUGCCCUCCCUCUGUGGCUUGGCGAGGGGGGUCGGGGGAAAGGGUAGGGAGGAUGUGAGGGGUGGGGAGCAGUGCUCUCUCUGCCUGUUUCAGGAAGGCUCUCUGGUUUGGUGAGAGCCCACACUUUGUUAAGUGAGAUAAGGGACACUACAAGAAAAGGAGGGGGUGGGUGGGCAGAGGACAUCACGCUGCUUAUUUUGAACCUGGGAAAACUGUGCCUUAGGAGAGGGAAGUCCUGCAUAUUUCAUGCUGUGACUUCUUGCUUCCAAACUGCGUAUGCUGGCCUCCUUUUCACCCAGAUGGUGCUGCAGGGAACAAGGCCCCACCAGUGUGUGCUCUUCCUGUGUGUCCAAAUUUCCACCAAAGAGGGCUCCUCCCAGGAGAUUGGCUGCCGAACCUGUUCUUCCACGGCAGAAGCGGCGCAGCUAGCCCAGCACGACUCUGCUUAUUGUUACGCUUCUGCCACAUGUGUGUAAAUUUGUAAGGAACUUGCCGCUCCUGGCUGAAGACCCAGGGAGCUUUUGCGCUGUUA